CCCAUUUAUGCGACAUGAUUUGGUGUAUGAGGUCAAGGUAUAUAAUUUUUGGUGAACUCAGAACUAAAAUUUUCAAAAAAUUAAAAAAAAAAUACAUAUUUAAAAAUUACAUAAAAAAUACUAUAUACAAGAAAAUUUUCAAAGCAUUAAUUACAUGAGAAAUUAAAUUAUAGAAGAUAAGAGUUUCAACUCAAAGGAAAUUAUAUUUUUGUAUUUUCUCUCAAAAUAAAAGAAAAUUUCAAUAAUUUAUUUAUAACUAAGAUCUCAAAUUUUUUUUGUUAAAAGCAUCUAAAUACUUUAAAGCACUAUAUAAUUGUGGAGGAGGGUCAAAUUUUAGGUUUGUAUAUUUAUUGAUGUUUUAUUUGUAUUAUUUUUUAAAAAAAAUGAUCAUAUCAUAAAUUUAGUAAGGUUUUAAUAACCGCGCGAAGCGCGGACCAGUUUACUAGUAAAUAAAUAAACUUAAAAUUUUGACGAUCGCAUAUUCAAAUUUUGCUAAACACUUGAUAACUCAACAGAUGAAACUAUAACAUUGAAAACAAAAUCUUAUCUUUAAAUAAGUUGUAAUACGACAACAACCUUAAAUAUAAACCUUUCCUAUAUUCUCCUUAAAUUUUUCAUUGAUUUUUUUUAUAUAUGCCGUCCUUCAAAAAAAAAAAAAAUCAUCCAUUUUUCUCGUUCACUUCCAUCAUCUAAAACUCCUUCCCGAUAAGCACAAGAAAAAAAAAUUGAUAAGCACAAGAAAAAAGUUAUAAAAAGAAUGAAACUUAGAGAAAAAAAAAAAACACUUACUUAAAGAUACAUACAUGUGUGGAGACUCCAAGAUGUCUUUUUGAACUAAAAUUCAAGGUUAAACAUAAAUUUACUUCACAUUCAAGGUUAAACAUAAAUUUACUUCAUAUGUCUUGAGAUCCAUCCAUGUCUAAUAUAUAUCACGUCAAAUCAAUAAAUAUUAUAAAUCUAGGCAUAGACAAGGUGAUGCGACACUUCUCUAUAACUUCCAUUCCUAUUUAUCUUUUUUCUCCUCUUUUUGCUUUUUUUCUUUCAUUUUGUUCGUUCAACAUAUUUUAAAAACUCAAAUACUCUAUUAAAUAGGGACUUUAAAUAACCUAUAAAUGAGUGGUUUAUUUUCCCUCAUGUAACGUCUGUGUACAUAUUCCAGAUCAAUGUCAUUUAUGUGCUAUGUAAAUGGGUGCUCUAAAUAACUUCCAAAUGGAUGGUUUAUCUUCCCUACUCUAUGUAACAUGUGUGUCUGUAUUCAAAAUAUCUGUAAUGCACCACUUCUCCCUCAUACAAUAUAUAACCCACCGUGGAGAUUAAGUACCGGAACUGAUAACAUUCUAGAUUAUGCAGGAUUAUACACAAAAGAUCAUUUUUUGGCUCUCUCGUUAGCCCUAUGUCUCUUAUCCCUAUCUAUCAGUUCUCCAUCGUCAUUUUUGGAACAAUCAUAAAACCUAUAUUGUUUUCGGUUUUUGCCUAAUGAGAUAAUUUUGGAGAUGCACGUACAUGGACCAUGCAGUGACAUGCUUGCUCACGAUUUUUCCGUAGUGAAGCGAGAAUCAAAUCUGGAGAAAAUAACGGAAUUCCCUAAUAUGCUCUGACUUGACAGGAUUUGAUUUAUUCAUCCAAAUCCAGAGAAAUUCACGAGGUUUCAAAGUUUGAAGCUGGAUAGAUCUAUAAAGCAUCAAGGUCCCAAACUCUUAAUUGUAAAUUGUUAAUGUCUGCAGACUACUACAAGCUAAAAUUACUACUAUAUAUAAGGGACAAUGUAAUGAGUUUUGUAGUACUUAGUUACAUUGUAACUAUUUGGUUGGCCCAACCAAAAUGGUUUGCUCUUUCAAAUUGCCCUUGAAUUUACUAUUUAUUACUUCAUGUACCCAAGUAUGUUUCCAAUAAAUUUAGAUAUUUUCAAACUCUU